rnacentral:rRNA from 1 species
GAUGAACGCUGACAGAAAGCUUAACACAUGCAAGUCUUUGGCGAAGCUGUGCUUGCACAGCCUAGCCAAGGCGGACGGGUGAGUAACGCGUAAGGAACUUGCCCUGCAGUCAGGGAUAACAGACGGAAACGACUGAUAAGACCUGGUAAAGUCAGGCGGACUCAUGUCCAGCCUGAUGAAAAGAGAUGCUGCAGGAGAGCCUUGCGUCCUAUUAGCUUGUUGGUGGGGUAACGGCCCACCAAGGCGAUGAUAGGUAGCCGGCCUGAGAGGGUGGACGGCCACAAGGGGACUGAGAUACGGCCCUUACUCCUACGGGAGGCAGCAGUGGGGAAUAUUGGACAAUGGGGGCAACCCUGAUCCAGCAAUUCUGUGUGCACGAUGAAGGUUUUCGGAUUGUAAAGUGCUUUCAGCAGGGAAGAAAAAAAUGACGGUACCUGCAGAAGAAGCGACGGCUAAAUACGUG